UACAGAGGUCCCAAGCGUUGUUCGGAUUCACUGGGCGUAAAGGGUGCGUAGGCGGUCGGGUAAGUCUGAUGUGAAAUCUCACAGCUUAACUGUGAAACUGCAUUGGAUACUAUCCGGCUCGAGGAAUGGAGGGGAGACUGGAAUACUUGGUGUAGCAGUGAAAUGCGUAGAUAUCAAGUGGAACACCAGUGGCGAAGGCGAGUCUCUGGACAUUUCCUGACGCUGGAGGCACGAAAGCCAGGGGAGCAAACGGG
rnacentral:rRNA from 1 species